AAAGAGUUUACAGAGAGAGGUAGACACACACACACACACACACACAGAGAGAGAGAGAGAGAGAGAGAAGCAGAGAGAGAGAGGCAGAGAGAGAGAGAGGUCUUCCAUCUACUGGCUCACUCCUCAAAUGGCCACAAUGGCUGAAGCUGGGCCAAUCCAAAACCAGGAGCUUCUUCCAGGUCUCCCGUGCAGGUGCAGGGGCCCAAGCACUUGGGCCGUCCUCCACUGCCUUCCCAGGUGCUUUAGCAGGGAGCUGGAUUGGAAGUGGAGCACCAGGCCUCAAGCCAGUGCCUGUGUGAGAUUCCAGUGCCUGUGUGAGAUGCCAGUGCUGCAGGCCGGGGCUUUAACCUGCUGUGCCACGGCGCCGGCCCCUGAAGCUGCACUUUGAUGGAGGAGAAGGAGGUGUGGAGGAACAGCUGCAGGGGAAGGAGUGGGCAGGGGAGUGGCAGGUGCCCAGCAUGGGGCUGGGUGUGCAGGGCCCUGUUGGCUGCCGUGACGCGCUGGGUUUGUGAUGAAGAACCAUCGAGCGAUGUCCAGGAAGGGAGUGAUGUGGACUUUGUCUACUGAAUACAAGGUGGUCUAUGGAGAAAUGAAACCAGCGGGGAUGGGGUAGUGGAUGCUUUCCAAAGAUGGCCGGGAAGAGUAUCUUCCUCCCCACGUGUGGUUCCUGGACCGCCCAGUGUCUGCCAGGCGAUGACAUCUAAUCGACCCUUGAACUCAGGCAGCGUGCGGCUGGAAUGCAGAGGAAGUGACGCUGGGUGACUUCCACUGUCACGCAGGCCACGGCAGCUGCCCCCUUGCCACUGGGGACUGUGCUGGAGCCCUGAGCUGUGCUGGGCUGGGAGGGGCCCGAGCCACGGGCAGGGGCGCUGAGUGGGUGCUUCGGGUGGCUGUGCCAGCCUUUGAAUUCUCUCACCAGGUGCCAGACACCCGUGCUCAAGCGAGUCUAGCUGCGUCCAGGGGUUCCCGAGGUGCCCUCAGCCUGUGGUCUGAGUCUCAGCUGUGGCCUCCGACGUGUGGGAGCAGACACAGAAGUCCUUGCUGUGUCCGCGUCCCGGAUCUGCAGGCCCCCGAGCCGAUGGGAGCCGCUGUUGUAGGCUCUGGGCCAGGACAGUCAGGAGGCUGCUGGGUGGACGGUGCAAGCUCAGAGGAGCCCCGGAGGACCAGGCGCAUGUGCGGAAGAAGCUGUGAGGGUGACCCUGUGGUGACGUCGGUGGCUGUCCAAGAGGAAGAGAGGCCCGUGCCGCCCUGGACGCCCGAGCCGGGCAGCGGUGCAGCCCGGGGGCCUCACCGGAGGCAUUCCCAGCCCCUGGAGCCGAGAGUGGAAUAAGCUUCUUCGGCAAUUCUUGUCUGUGGGAGUCCCAGAACGGAUUCAGACUGCCCCGUGCCCACCGCCAGCCCCCCGGGGGGCUCAGGGCUGGGAGCCGCGGGCAUGAAGCCCACGGGAGAGGGGCGCUCUCAUCAGCAUCUGCGUGGCGGGGCUGCAGAUGCCGGCGCCAGCACCGUCAGACGCUCAGCGCCUAAUUGGCCGCUGCGGGGCCCUCAUCACCAUUGACCUUAUUUACAGAGUGCCUGACAUCUGAAUGUCAAAUUAGCAUCACUGAGCCUCUCCUCUAAUAAUUACUUUAAUUGUAAAUAGCGCAUUUGCGGCAGGAAAAAUACCAGUGAUUGCGCCGAGACGUGGCUGUGGCUUCCUUCCGCUCCUGGAGACGGGGGCCUGCGGCGUUCCUCCCCUGACGACGGUAACUCCCCUGGAUCUUCGCCCUGGCGGGAGCACUGAGCCAGGAAGAAAGGACACGUGGCCCCCACCAGCAGCCACGUGAGGAGUCCCCGCCUCGGCAGCGCACCUGGCCCCCACCGGAAGGCAAGGGGCCGGCCGUGCCCCAGGGAGCCGGGAGCGGUGAGGUGGAGUGAGGCAGGCGCCUGAGUCAGCGCACUUGGUAGCUCCACGGGACGACGGUGCAGGGGAGGGGCGGGUGCUCUCUAACGUGGCUGCCUCGUUUGGAGGACACCUGGACAGGUGUCGGGCCGAAUUCCCAGCCAGCGCCGUGACUGCGACAGACUCGGGCAGGCCGGGGCCGACCCGGGCAGGCACGGUGGUUGCCCAGUGGGCUCUUUCCGGCUUUUCCGCCCCGCCAUCCUCAGCGUGCAGGCCUCAGUGCGUCCACGGCGGUGUGUGGUUGGCAGGAGGGCAGGGGGGAGCUGUGGGCAGUGGCUGCUGAGGUAGGCGGAGUGGUUGGGGUGCAGCUGACGGCAGAGCAGCAGCCAGCGCUUUUGUAGUGACCUUGGGGAAGAGGAGACACCAGGGCCACCCAUGCCGCGGCUGGGGA
rnacentral:lncRNA from 1 species